GAAACGUCGGGGCUCUGAGACGUGGGCAGGCUUGGAGGAUUUAUUUGCUGCUGAGACUCGACCCCGGAGCUUCCGUCUCCAGCACCUGUUCUUGGAGCAUCCAGAAUUGGCUAGUGCUAUUUGAGGUCUGUCUUCCCAGGUGGUGCAGUGAUGAAGAAGCUGCCUGCGAUGCAGGAGACACAGGCUCUCAUACAUCCUGUUCUGAAGUGCUCUUCUUAAUGGCUACCUGAAGACUUGGGACUAUUUCUAAAUUGCCAUGGCUUCCCUGUGCCCAGUUGCCUCAAGACUCUGGGCUCUCAAGACACCCCAGGCUUUGUUAAACAAUGGAGAGCCUGGCUCCUGGGCUGGUGAAGAUGCAGAUCUGAAUGUUUAGAGGAUGGACCCAGACUUCCAGGAGACCUUCCCUGAGUUUUUCUGGCUGCCUCGAUCUUCUGUCAUUGUUUGCAGGAAGCAGGACCACCAGGAGCUGAGGAACAUCUGAAACACUGGCCAAUUGUCCUUCAAUCAGUUAUUCACUUUGCCGUCAUGACUUCAUCGACGAUUCCAUGAAACCCAGAGCUGCUACCAGGACAGUUCUAGGACAGCCGUCAUCCUCAGCUUCCUCUUCGCUGUUACUGCCCGUCUUGUCAUCACUGUCAGCAUCCAUCUGUCAAGCACUGAACAGUGUGAGCUGAAGAUUUCCUUGGAGCUGGAGCACUAUUUGGCAGCCACUGGGCAAGUUGGUGGAGGAAGAGGAGAUACAAGGAUGAAGGAGAUGAAGACUCAGCCCACUGUUCAACCUACCCACCAGCUUGCAUCCUAACAGGGGAAGAGACCUGCCCACAGACAG